rnacentral:tRNA from 1 species
GGUUUUUGGCUCAGCGGGAGAGUGCUUGCCUAGCAAGUGUGAGGCCCUGGGUUUGAUCCUCAGCACCA